ACUAUAAAACACACUGACCUUCCAUAAAAUACCUUAAUAUAUUUUGUCCUCUCACCUACACACAUUACAAAGUGGACACGUUUGACUGCCACGAUGAAAUAUUUGGCUCUGGCUUUGCUGUUAUGUGCUUUGGCGUCACUGUCAAAUGCGUACUGCUACGUUAAAGAAAAUAAACCAGUUUUAGUUGCUGUGACCGAUCCCAUAGAUAACACGACUCAUAUCAUAAAUAAUGCGACCCUUUCCAUAAAUACGACCCAUUGUCAGGACGAUAUGGACAAAACAUGGCAUGCUGUAGGAUCUAAAUGGAGGAACAGUCGAUGUUAUGAUUGUGAUUGCAGUGGAUGUUGCACUGCGUUUUCAACCCCCAGAGGCUUCCCUGACGACUGUGUGUCAGUAUUUGACCCGAAGGCAUGUGAAUACAUAGUGCACAAGAAGGAUGACCCAUCUGUGCUCUGUCCAAUUUUUUCUGCAGUAGGAAAAUGAUUAUGGUCUGAAACUCUGAAGCAUUUUCUUUUCUUUCUUUUUUUGGUUGUUGUUGAACUGGGAAAAAAGAGACGAUCCCUCACUGGCUUCCCACAAUAACACCGCCUGUUUUAGAAGCACAGCUGCUAGAAAUUGGAAAUUAAAUACUGCGACAGUUAACUUUCAAAUAAAUAAAUAAAUAAAUCACACAUUUCUUCCU